UACGUAGGGGGCAAGCGUUGUCCGGAAUUAUUGGGCGUAAAGGGCGCGCAGGUGGUGGUUUAAGUUUGGUGUUUAAUCCCAGGGCUCAACCCUGGUUCGCACUGAAAACUGGAUCACUUGAGUUCAGAAGAGGAGAGUGGAAUUCCACGUGUAGCGGUGAAAUGCGUAGAUAUGUGGAGGAACACCAGUGGCGAAGGCGACUCUCUGGUCUGAUACUGACACUGAGGCGCGAAAGCGUGGGUAGCAAACAGG
rnacentral:rRNA from 1 species